rnacentral:rRNA from 1 species
GACGAACGCUGGCGGCGUGCCUAAUACAUGCAAGUAGAACGCUGAAGAGAGGAGCUUACUCUUCUUGGAUGAGUUGCGAACGGGUGAGUAACGCGUAGGUAACCUGCCUCGUAGCGGGGGAUAACUAUUGGAAACGAUAGCUAAUACCGCAUAACAAUGGAUGACACAUGUCAUUUAUUUGAAAGGGGCAAUUGCUCCACUACAAGAUGGACCUGCGUUGUAUUAGCUAGUAGGUGAGGUAAUGGCUCACCUAGGCGACGAUACAUAGCCGACCUGAGAGGGUGAUCGGCCACACUGGGGCUGAGACACGGCCCAGACUCCUACGGGAGGCAGCAGUAGGGAAUCUUCGGCAAUGGGGGCAACCCUGACCGAGCAACGCCGCGUGAGUGAAGAAGGUUUUCGGAUCGUAAAGCUCUGUUGUAAGUCAAGAACGGGUGUGAGAGUGGAAAGUUCACACUGUGACGGUAGCUUACCAGAAAGGGACGGCUAACUACGUG